GGAAUCUUCCACAAUGGGCGAAAGCCUGAUGGAGCAACGCCGCGUGUGUGAUGAAGGGUUUCAGCUCGUAAAACACUGUUGUAAGAGAAGAAUGACAUUGAGAGUAACUGUUCAAUGUGUGACGGUAUCUUACCAGAAAGGAACGGCUAAAUACGUGCCAG
rnacentral:rRNA from 1 species